AUUGAACGCUGGCGGCAUGCCUUACACAUGCAAGUCGAACGGUAACGGGCCUUCGGGUGCCGACGAGUGGCGAACGGGUGAGUAAUACAUCGGAACGUGCCCGAUCGUGGGGGAUAACGAGGCGAAAGCUUUGCUAAUACCGCAUACGAUCUACGGAUGAAAGCAGGGGACCGCAAGGCCUUGCGCGGACGGAGCGGCCGAUGGCAGAUUAGGUAGUUGGUAGGAUAAAAGCUUACCAAGCCGACGAUCUGUAGCUGGUCUGAGAGGAUGAUCAGCCACACUGGGACUGAGACACGGCCCAGACUCCUACGGGAGGCAGCAGUGGGGAAUUUUGGACAAUGGGCGCAAGCCUGAUCCAGCCAUGCCGCGUGCAGGAUGAAGGCCUUCGGGUUGUAAACUGCUUUUGUACGGAACGAAAAGCCUUCUUUUAAUACAGGAGGGUCAUGACGGUACCGUAAGAAUAAGCACCGGCUAACUACGUG
rnacentral:rRNA from 1 species